AGUGAACGCUGGCGGUAGGCCUAACACAUGCAAGUCGAACGGCAGCACAGUAAGAGCUUGCUCUUACGGGUGGCGAGUGGCGGACGGGUGAGGAAUAACUCGGAAUCUACUUUUUCGUGGGGGAUAACGUAGGGAAACUUACGCUAAUACCGCAUACGACCUACGGGUGAAAGCAGGGGAUCUUCGGACCUUGCGCGAUUGAAUGAGCCGAUGUCGGAUUAGCUAGUUGGCGGGGUAAAGGCCCACCAAGGCGACGAUCCGUAGCUGGUCUGAGAGGAUGAUCAGCCACACUGGAACUGAGACACGGUCCAGACUCCUACGGGAGGCAGCAGUGGGGAAUAUUGGUCAAUGGGCGCAAGCCUGAUCCAGCCGUACCGCGUGGGUGAAGAAGGCCUUCGGGUUGUAAAGCCCUUUUGUUGGGAAAGAAAAGCAGCAGGUUAAUACCCCGCUGUUCUGACGGUACCCAAAGAAUAAGCACCGGCUAACUUCGUG
rnacentral:rRNA from 1 species